ensembl:lncRNA
CACACACCGCCUAACCUCACCCUGACAUACACACACACCGCCUAACCUCACCCUGACAUACACACACACCGCCUAACCUCACCCUGACAUACACACACACACCGCCUAACCUCACCCUGACAUACACACUGUCACUCUCACUGUCUGACUGUGUGAUGUUGUGUGUUUCAGAUGUGAAGGGUGACUCCUCUCUACCUGCUCAGGAUAGCGUGUCGUGUGGCCGCAGUAGUGGUGGCUCUACCUCUUCUCUCUCCACCCCCCCUUCCAUCUCCCACAGCCCCCCCCAGCCGCCUCAGCUCAACGGGGUUGCCAUGGGAACAAUGCUGCUGGGAGGGGGAGCUGGGCUAGGGAUGGGGGGGAUAGUGGGGGUUCUGAACAGAGUCAUACAGACCACUUCCAGCCCUCACACAUACAGCUACACACAUACCUCCUCACCGGGCCCCAGCACCGCUCUGCCCAUCUCCAGCUCCAUCAACACCAGGUUGGGUGCCUUGUCUGAGCAGCAGAGGCUCUUACUGCACCAGAACCAACUACAACAGCUACUGUCUUCACAGCCCUCUGCGGAACAGCAGCAGGUGUUAUUUUACCAGUUGAUGCAGCAACAACAAGACCUCCACCAACUCCAGUCUUCCUCCUCCCAGCUUCCCUCCAUCCCUCUCUCCUCUGCUCAGCUGCCCAUCACCUCCCUUCUUUCCUCCUCCAACGCCCACGGCACCAUCACCGCCAACCCCUUCCUGGCUCGGCACACACACCCCGACACACACACACACCCCGACACACACACACACGCCGCUGCACAGAAGCCCCGGCUGGCUGAGAAAGCUGUUGGAGUCACUGGACAGGAGAAGACCUGACCCACAAAACAUAUCUCUCUCUUUUCUCUAUCCAUCUCUCUCUCUCUCUUUCUGUUGGUGAUUCUGUCUACUCUCUAUCCAUCUCUCUAUUCAUCCAUCUCUCUCGCUCUCUCUCUCUCUCUCUCUCUCUCUCUCUCAGGGGUCUCCACCAUCAUGUGAUCAGUGCUGUGUGUUUAACCACACAAGCUCACCCACAUAGAACUACAAACUCCAAAAAACGAUCAGGACACUAACAUAGCUGACUGACUCACAGCUCAGCUGGAGAGAUGCGGUCUGGGAAGUAUGACUCUCAUUGGACAGUUUUAAGAGAGGGAGGAGUUUGUAACUGCUUUUACCUCUCUAUAUCUGUGUGUAUGGACCAGCAUAAGACCUGACCAGAGACCACUCUAAUGUAAGACUGACUGACUGCUCAGCCAUGGAAGCCUUGCUAUGACUGUCUUUCUGCUGUACCUACCUCACACACACAAACCAGCCGAUUAGUGCCCACAACUCUCAGCAUCGGCCAAUAGGAAUCCACAACAUUCAUGACUGGCCAGUCAGGGUCCAAUCCCCAAGUGCCUAAAGCCGAGGGGGCGGGGUUACUCAUACUCCUCUUCCUGUCUCUCCUGUCAGACAUCCAUUCUCACCAUAUUACUGGCUGUCAAGCUGCGUUGCCCAGGCAACAGGUCACACAACACAUUCUGAGAAGCUGGAAGCUGUAUUGUGCUGCUUUCACAAACUACAGAAACAAACUUUAUAAAUGGUCUCUUUUUAUUUAUUUAGAAGUGCCCGCUGUUCUUACAAGCGUUUGUUUUAUACUAAUGUUUGAAGUUUUUCUCACUCUUGCUGUAAACAUUUUUGAUGGAAACAGAUACUUGUUGUGUACUCAGAAAGAUUGAAGUAGUGGUGGUGGUGUAUAUAGCUGCUAUUGUGGGGAGGGGUGUGGAUUCAAUAACACAGUUUUUACCUCGUUUGUGUAAAUAAAUAUAUAUUUUUCAUUGGCUGUGGGGUGUAAAUAAGUGAUUGUGAUUGGCCCUGCUGGUGUGAAGGAUAGCCAAUAAACCUCAUUUUGUGUGACUCUUAUGAGCAGACAACAGGAGACGGUGACUGAACACAAAGUGUUAAUUUAUUUUUAUAUGUGCAGCGACAUUGUUUCGUUGUUUUUCUAAGUUUCACAACGGUUAUUUUAUACUCGGCACCAUGUUUCCGUCUGUGUUCACUUUUGUUUGGAUCAGUUUUGUACAACUGAAAAAUCAUAAAACAUCCUCAAAUGUUUCUAUUUCAAGUCACUGAAAUAAAGAAGCGUUCCGGAUAAAGAAAGAGACGGACUGUUGGUGAAAAGACGAGGAGGAGGACUUACAGGAAGCCUGUGUCGGGAUGUCGUCAUGGUUUGGUUUGUGAGAACAUCGGUAAAGCUUGAUUUAACAGCUCUGUUCAAGUGCUUUUUGUAAAAUGCAUUUUAAUGCUUUGGUUGAAUAAAGAACAGAUCUACCUCCCUAAACCUUCUGUCUAAUAACAGGUUUCUCUUUGUUUAACCUCUUUACCCCCCAUCUCUGGAUGGAGGGAUGACAAACAGACUCUCACACUCUCUCUCGUUUGCCGUCUUCUGUCUAGUGUUUAGCAGUUUCU